UCUCUUGCUCACUUGCAGAGGAGCCUAUCGAAUCACAACUGUUUUCGGAACACAGAGAAGGGAACUACACACCCGAGAGGAAGAAAAGAAGAAGGCCUCAUACACGCACGCAACCGCCUCAUCAUCACCACCCCACCUCUCCUCUCCCACUUCUGCCGGUGUUGACACGGUAGAGACUGGUGCGGUGAGCUUUUUGUUGGGAGUCCUUUACCGAAGCCUGCACGUAGCGAAGCGCUUCUCUUUUCGGCCUUCCUCUCCGCCUCGGACACGGAGGGGGUCACGCAGGGACAUACGCCCCCAUUGCACUCUCUCGCACGUGUCUUCUCACGCUGCUCGCGUCCUCUGUGUGUGGCGUGGGAUCGCUUUUUCCUCGCCCCCGCCGCUGCUUCUUCACUGCGGGCGCAUCCGUGGCGCUUUUCCGUCUGAUUCCUGUUGUGCGUUCACGUGGUGAGUGGAUUCGUUCUGCUGCUCGCGUGUGCUGUAGUAUUGUUAAUCCGCUACCUUGGGUUUAUCGCUACCGCGAUGCCGCCAUCCAACGACCUCCUUGGGCCGAGUGCCGGUAACCCCUUUUUGCGCAAGGCGCGCGUCACCUACAAACGCUACCUCGACGCGUCCGUGCCGCACCGUGGUCUGCGAUGGUGCUUCUUCGCCUUUUUAGCGAUCCUGUACGUGGCCCGCGUGGUCACCUUCGGUGGCUUCUACGUAAUCACCUAUGGCCUGUGCAUUCACCUGCUCUACCUGCUCCUGCUGCUAAUCACUCCGCUGUCGGACCCGGAUGAGAGCGAGGGCACGCCGUUGCCAACGACACACAUGGACGGCGACGAGUACCGCCCGUUUAUGCCUAAGGUGCAGGAGUUCGUGGUAUGGAAGCAGAUGUUUACGGUGCUGUUCGUGUGCCUCUUCCUGACCAUGUUUUCCUUUCUCGACAUCCCCGUCUUCUGGCCGAUUCUUGUGCUUUACUUCCUCAUGCUGUUUGCGACGCAGGUUGGCGGGCGGGUGCGACACAUGAUCAAGCACGGCUAUGUACCGUGGAACACCGGCAAGCCCAAGUUCGUGCCCAAGAGCACUUCGUGAGGAAGGGUGUAAAAAGGUGGUCGCUUGUUCAUCUAGUCCUACACCCCCUACCUUCCUUCUGCCGGUCUGUGCCCGUCUGUCCUUCCCUUUCUGUCUCUGUGCUGCAGGUUUCAGUGUAUGCAUUACGUAUCGGUCAUCACCCCCCACCUGCUGCUGCUGCUCUCGGGCUCGCUGCCCGGAUGGGGCCGGCAGAAAGACACGGGCAAGAGUCGAGCGCGCGUGAAGUAGAGGUUUGCGUCGCUGUCGCAGAGGAUGAGCGAGCGGGGCAAAGAGCGGCCGACCCGGCGUGGGUGAAGAACGGAACAUGCAUAGCACCCCCACAAAAACGAAUCGAAAGGAAGAGGCGGUGCGCGGUGAACUACAGAAUGCGCCACCUGACCUCCCCCUCCCCCUUCCCAUGCUGGCUUUGUGACCACCACUCCUUCAUCGGCUCUCGUCUAAGUUGCUCUCGGCGUCGGUGGACGCUUGUGCGUCCGUCGGAUGAUACGAACUUGGAUGUUUUAUGACGCAUCCCUGUUUCCCUCUGAUGCGCUAUGUUCGUGAGCGUGCGUUGCCGUGGGCUGUGUUGAUGCCUAUCGUUUGGCGUGGGCGGUCGUCUCGGCACCUCCCUCCCUCUUGUUUUUCACCUGCGUGGCUCUCUGCGUUCAUGCGGACGGAUGAGGACGUCGCGAGUGCACUUCCCAUUUUGUGUGUGUGCGCGUGUGCGUGUUGCAUUUUUUUGGUUGGCCCCGCCCUCCCUUUGGUUUUUGUUUGUUUCUGUUGGCGUGCCCAUGUGCAGAGUCGCUUACCCCAAACAGUUUGCCCAGAGCAAGCGAGAGGGAGACGAGUACGCACGAAUACACCUACACAAUGGAGGAGGAGGGGGGGAGGCUGCACGAAGUAGAGCGAAAACACAUCGAAAAGAGGGGAUGCUCAGGGGGGCUGCGUGGUUGCAGGGCGGCGCCGCACGCUUUUCCUAUCCGUCCCCCGUCCCCCGUCCCCCACAGACUCACAGGCCCGUCGGAUGUGCGACGCGUGCUUGUCGAAAUGCGGGGCACCGGGCAGGGGCGGAUAAGAAAUGCCAAGCCGUGUGAGGUGCUUACCCUGCUUGCCUUGGCGUGCGCAGGUCACCCACACUCCUUACGGAGAAGACAAACCAACACCCACACCCGUACAUACGGACAGGCGAGAAGAUGCCGUUACCCCCGCUCCCUCCCCGAAGGCCCCUUAUGCGCGCUGCACCUGUACUCCGCCUUCUGGUGCUUCAUCUCUGUAGCAUUGAGUGUUUGUCAGCGAGGCGAGACGGACAGGCUGCAGCUUCUCUGAGUUGCAGACUCGAUGCUGAAGGAGGCCGAGAGGUGGAGAAGUGUGAGUGUGUGGGAGGGUGGCGGCAUGCGAUGAGUGACAGCUGCGCGCAGUCACUAGAUGUUUUUGUAUCAUGCGCGCCAGCAGGCACUACCGCCACCCUUUUCUCUUACACAUUUGCCUUCUCGGUUGACGAUCUCGUACGCGUUUUGGCGUCGUGGCUUUGGUGUUUCUGUUAAACGUCGCUCUGGUUGCUGUUAACGACCCGGUCAAAUACACUGACAAGCUCACUGAUGCAUGCGGGGUGGACAUCUCCAUGGACC
rnacentral:misc_RNA from 1 species